rnacentral:tRNA from 1 species
GCCGAAGUGGCGGAAUUGGCAGACGCGCUGGUCUCAAACACCAGUGGCCGCAAGGCUGUGUGGGUUCGACUCCCACCUUCGGCACCA